AGUACAGGCUCCGACCGAGGACUGAGGAAGCUUAGGAUGACUAAUAAGAAUGGUUGCGGCGAGUGUUUUGUUGUGGAGGUAUUAGAAGAAUGUGUAAGAAACAUACGGUGCUCAUGAUGCAACUUCCUGGAUGGUGUGUUAACUGUUUAUCAGCAUGUGAAAUCCACAUGAUUGAAGGAGAAGUCUCCCUUGUUAAAGAUCAGCAACGGCAGAUAAACAAUGCAUGAUGCAAUCUGCUCACUAAAAAGAUUACAACAAUACACCCCAUGCAUGUAUUUCUACCUAUCACCUAUGUAACCUUUGUCAUGCUCUUCAGAGAGUCAUCGACGGGAAAAGGAAUUACCGGUAAGUUGACAGGACUUUCCACACUGUUUCUGGUAGCAGCUUAUGAUUGAAUUGAUGGUAGAAGACAUGGCCCACUUAAUCAAAGAUAAUCUGUAUAGAGUGGCACCUUAACCACCACUGGUGAAAUAGAAGAUGACUAGUGGAUGGUCAUCACUUUGCAGCUCACUUUCACUUUCUGCAGCCCAUCUCUUCUCAUUCACAAUCAUUGUCUUUGGAGGAAUGGUGACAGUGCAGUCCUCAUGACUGGGCAGGCUUAUAUUGCUCAAAUGUCCUGAUGAACCCGACGUGAUUGGCGGGAUCCCAUCAAACAGUCUGUCAAAAUUCAAGGUCACUGACAGAAAUGAUAUAAACUUCUUGUCCAGGAUAUCAGUUUGCAACGGAGAAUCAUUGAAGCUCAUUCUUGGUACAAAGAUUAUUGAAGACCUGAGAGUGUGUCAUGACCUUGGCCCAUGGCAAUUCUGGCAAGUUCAAGGUCACUGGCUUAAAAGGUAUAAAACACUUGUGUAGGCUGUAACUUUGUAAUGGAGAAUCAUUGGAAGCUCUUACUUGCUACAGAGAUUGUUUAUGACCUGGAAGUUUGUCUUGACCUUGACCAAGGUCAUUCUGGCAAGUUCAAGGUCACUGGCAGAUAAGAGAUAACAUUCUUGUCCAGUCAAUAACUUUGUAACUGAGCUUUAAUUUGCUACAAAAAUUUUUUUCUGACCUGAGGGUCAUUGUGACAAGUUCAAGUUCAAGGAGAAAAAUUGGAUGUCCAUAUUUCACUCUUAGAUUAAUCAUGUCCAAAGAUCUGUCUUUUUUUUACCAAAGUCAUUUUGGUAAGUUCAAGGUCACAUUUACACAUUCUAAAUAAAAGAAUUGCAGCAGGGUUAUAACCUUAUUAUUUU